ensembl:misc_RNA Metazoa_SRP Metazoan signal recognition particle RNA
GCCGGGUGCAGUCACGCGUGCCUGUAGUACCAGCUACUCGGGAGGCUGAGGUGGGAGGAUUGCUUGAGGCCAGGAGUUCUGGGCUGUAGUGCACUAUGCUGAUCUGGUGUCCGCACUAAGUUCGGUAUCAAUAUGGUGACCUCCAGGGAGCCGGAAACCACCAGGUUGCCUAAGGAGGGGUGAACCAGCCCAGGUCGGAAAUGGAGCAGGUCAAAACUCCUGUGCUGAUCAGUAGUGGGAUCUCACCUGUGAAUAGCCACUGCACUCCAGUCUGGGCAACAUAGCGAGACCCCGUCUCUU